UACGAAGGGGGCUAGCGUUGCUCGGAAUCAUUGGGCGUAAAGAGCUCGUAGGCGGCUUGUCGCGUCGACUGUGAAAACCCGUGGCUCAACCAUGUGGUCUGCAGUCGAUACGGGCAGGCUAGAAUUCGGUAGGGGAGACUGGAAUUCCUGGUGUAGCGGUGAAAUGCGCAGAUAUCAGGAGGAACACCGGUGGCGAAGGCGGAUCUCUGGGCCUUACCUGACGCUCAGGUGCGAAAGCUAGGGGAGCGAACAGG
rnacentral:rRNA from 1 species